rnacentral:lncRNA from 1 species
AUGCAAGUCAAAGAAAACUUCGUUUUUGUGGUUGAUGCAACUUUGGCGUGUUUUUUUUUUUUUUUUUCAUCGGAGUCAUUUAGUUCCGAGUGUUUUCAUCAGGCCCCCCCACAAUCCCCACAUCCAUCGGUGGGCCCAGGGGUCGGAUCAGUCAGCGGGCCCCCCUUUCAGAACAUUAUAAGUCGUUUGGACCAAGCUGAGCGAAAACGACUGAAUCCAGAAGCCAACAAUGUAGAUGAAACGGAGGAUUUUUUAUCGAUUGUAUUCUUAACAAAAGGGCCACCGGAUCAACUAGAUGCUCCUCCACGGAAGCUCAGAUUCCUGGCAAUAUUUGGUCUGACUACUUUAGCAAAACGUAAUGAUUUGGAGCUGUGUAAGUUAUCUCGGCGAAGAGCAAUCCCAACUGUUGAAAUGGAUUUUUAGUCAUACAGAAGCCCCACAGGAUAAGAAUCCUCCGCAGUCUCUUGAUCUUCCCCAUCCAAUUUUGUCUCCUCGGGCUCUUACAAAUUCAAAUGAAAAGUUAUCUUAUAUGGACUAUCUCGAGCUACAGUGUCUUUCUGAACAAGAAAAGCAGG